ACGUUUGGAAGGAAGGAGCAGCCACCGGCACGCGCGGGUGGUUGUUGGCUGUUAGGCAAGUACCUUUUUAAAACAAGUGACAGGAGCGGCACGAGCACAUACACGCUCGACCACGUCAAGGGCAACUUCCACACGAGAUGAUCUUCACUGUCUUCCUACUGGUUCAAGUCGUGCUGCUCUACUUCCUCGCCACGCACAGAUCCAGGUCCGAGAGGGAUCCACCUCUUGACAAAGGCGCUAUCCCGUGGCUUGGUCACGCAAUUGAAUUCG